UAGGGAAUCUUCCACAAUGGACGCAAGUCUGAUGGAGCAACGCCGCGUGAGUGAAGAAGGUUUUCGGACCGUAAAGCUCUGUUGUUGGUGAAGAAGGAUAGAGGUAGUAACUGGCCUUUAUUUGACGGUAAUCAACCAGAAAGUCACGGCUAACUACGUGCCAGCAGCCGCGGUAAUACGUAGGUGGCAAGCGUUGUCCGGAUUUAUUGGGCGUAAAGCGAGCGCAGGCGGAAGAAUAAGUCUGAUGUGAAAACCCUCGGCUUAACCGAGGAAUUGCAUCGGAAACUGUUUUCUUGAGUGCAGAAGAGGAGAGUAGAACUCCAUGUGUAGCGGUGGAAUGCGUAGAUAUAUGGAAGAAUACCAGUGGCGAAGGCGGCUCUCUGGUCUGCAACUGACGCUGAGGCUCGAAAGCAUGGGUAGCGAACAGGAUUAGAUACCCUGGUAGUCCAUGCCGUAAACGAUGAGUGCUAAGUGUUGGGAGGCUUCCGCCUCUCAGUGCUGCAGCUAACGCAUUAAGCACUCCGCCUGGGGGAGUACGACCGCAAGGUUGAAAC
rnacentral:rRNA from 1 species